CGGCGACCGGCAAACGGGUGCGGAACACGUACGCAAUCUACCCAAAACUGGGGAAUAGCCCGGGGAAACCCGGAUUAAUACCCCGUAACAUAUUGAGAAGGCAUCUUUUUAAUAUUAUAGCUCCGGCGGUUUUGGAUGGGCGUGCGGCUGAUUAGGUAGUUGGCGGAGUAAUAGCCCACCAAGCCUACGAUCAGUAACUGGUGUGAGAGCACGACCAGUCACACGGGCACUGGGACACGGGCCCG
rnacentral:rRNA from 1 species